rnacentral:rRNA from 1 species
AUUGAACGCUGGCGGCAGGCCUAACACAUGCAAGUCGAACGAGUGGCGGACGGGUGAGUAAUGUCUGGGAAACUGCCUGAUGGAGGGGGAUAACUACUGGAAACGGUAGCUAAUACCGCAUACCAUCAGAUGUGCCCAGAUGGGAUUAGCUUGGUGGUGGGGUAACGGCUCACCAAGGCGACGAUCCCUAGCUGGUCUGAGAGGAGGACCAGCCACCCUGGAGCUGGGACACUGUCCAGACUCCUACGGGAGGACGCAGUGGGGAAUAUGGCACAAUGGGCGCAAGCCUGAUGCAGCCAUGCCGCGUGUAUUAAGAAGGCCUUCGGGGUGUAAAGUACGUUCAGCGGUGAGGCGUUACCCGCAGAAGAAGCACCGGCUAACUCCGUGCCAGCAGCCGCGGUAAUUC